rnacentral:rRNA from 1 species
GACGAACGCUGGCGGCGUGCUUAACACAUGCAAGUCGAACGGAAAGGCCCUGCUUUUGUGGGGUGCUCGAGUGGCGAACGGGUGAGUAACACGUGAGUAACCUGCCCUUGACUUUGGGAUAACUUCAGGAAACUGGGGCUAAUACCGGAUAGGAGCUCCUGCUGCAUGGUGGGGGUUGGAAAGUUUCGGCGGUUGGGGAUGGACUCGCGGCUUAUCAGCUUGUUGGUGGGGUAGUGGCUUACCAAGGCUUUGACGGGUAGCCGGCCUGAGAGGGUGACCGGCCACAUUGGGACUGAGAUACGGCCCAGACUGCUACGGGAGGCAGCAGUGGGGAAUAUUGCACAAUGGGCGGCAGCCUGAUGCAACAACGCCGCGUGCGGGAUGACGGCCUUCGGGUUGUAAACCGCUUUCGCCUGUGACGAAGCGUGAGUGACGGUAAUGGGUAAAGAAGCACCGGCUAACUACGUG